GAUGAACGCUGGCGGCGUGCCUAAUACAUGCAAGUCGAGCGAACAGACGAGGAGCUUGCUCCUCUGACGUUAGCGGCGGACGGGUGAGUAACACGUGGAUAACCUACCUAUAAGACUGGGAUAACUUCGGGAAACCGGAGCUAAUACCGGAUAAUAUAUUGAACCGCAUGGUUCAAUAGUGAAAGACGGUUUUGCUGUCUCUUAUAGAUGGAUCCGCGCCGCAUUAGCUAGUUGGUAAGGUAACGGCUUACCAAGGCGACGAUGCGUAGCCGACCUGAGAGGGUGAUCGGCCACACUGGAACUGAGACACGGUCCAGACUCCUACGGGAGGCAGCAGUAGGGAAUCUUCCGCAAUGGGCGAAAGCCUGACGGAGCAACGCCGCGUGAGUGAUGAAGGUCUUCGGAUCGUAAAACUCUGUUAUUAGGGAAGAACAAAUGUGUAAGUAACUAUGCACGUCUUGACGGUACCUAAUCAGAAAGCCACGGCUAACUACGUG
rnacentral:rRNA from 1 species